GCAACUCGCCUACACGAAGCUGGAAUCGCUAGUAAUCGCGGAUCAGCACGCCGCGGUGAAUACGUUCCCGGGCCUUGUACACACCGCCCGUCACACCAUGAGAGUCUGUAACACCCAAAGCCGGUGGGAUAACCUUUAUAGGAGUCAGCCGUCUGAGGUAGGACAGAUGAUUAGGGUGAAGUCGUAACAAGGUAUC
rnacentral:rRNA from 1 species